UCAGCGCGCGCCGCCGCCGGUCACGUGCCUUCCCUGUGGUCACGUGCCCCGUGUUUACCUCGGUCGGCAGCGCGGCGGGCUCACCAUGUCCCUGCCAGCAAAGAGGUGUGGAAGGCCCCCGGUGUUGUCCUUCCUGGAAAAGAAAAAGAGAAAGCAAAGUCUUGAUAGAAGAAGGGGCAAAACGAGGAUUUAUGUGGGAAAUCACAUUGAGCGGUGGCUGACACUUAAGGAGAAGCUGGAUUUCAGGAACGAUGCAGAAGUUGCAGGGUUUUUAUUGGAUUUGUAUGACAGCUACGACCCACUGUCAAAAGCCCCGCUCUGUCCCCUCCCUGAGGGUGUCAGGAGGAUCACUAUGAAGGAAGAAAGAGCUCUGUCAGGCAGCACAUCUUUAAUAGCAGCAGAUGGGACGUAUGACAAUGAUGAGCAGCUGCAUAAAGAAUCUGCUUGUUCUGGCCUGGGAGAUGUGAGAGUUGUGACUGUGAAGGAGGAGCGAGAGACACCCCAGGACUGUGUGUUGGCACGGGCAGAUGACACUGCUGUGCUCAGCGAGGCCACCCCACCAUCGGCUGCUGGUCUGUGUUACUGCAGUGUCUCCAGUAACUGAGGCAUUCCCAUUGAGAUCAGAGGAGCCUCCAAUAGGGGGACACGGAGGCCGUAGGACGUUGCACUGGCAUUGCAUGGUGUGUCCAAACCCCUCGCUAAGAUGGUGAAUAGGCAAACAACCUGAGGUUCUGAAAGCAGUUCCGUGGCACAGAAGAAUUCUUGGAAGCUAGGGCAGGAGAAAACAAAUACCAGUGCUGAUGAAGCUGACAAAUUCAAGUACAUUCUUCAAAACAGCAUUUUUCACUGGCAAUGUAAUUUUAGUUUGGAGUGCAGCAAUAAUUGAAUUCCUGGGACUGAUUUGAUACAGGGUGAGCGGCAAGAAGAAAAUCGAGCUCUUGCAUAACAAUACUGGGGCAGUUUUUGGUCUGUUUUGAUUUUGCUGUGAGGGUAUUGUGAACUGUAAGUUGUAUGAAACUCCAUGUUAUGUGUUGAACAGCACAUUAAACUUAAUUCCCUGAA